rnacentral:rRNA from 1 species
AUUGAACGCUGGCGGCAGGCCUAACACAUGCAAGUCGAGCGAGCGGCGGACGGGGGAGUAAUGUCUGGGAAACUGCCUGAUGGAGGGGGAGAACUACUGGAAACGGUAGCUAAAACAGCAUAAAAUCAGAUGGUCCCCGAUGGGAUUAGUUGGUAGGUGGGGUAACGGCUCACCUAGGCGACGAUCACUAGCUGGUCUGAGAGGAGGACCAGCCACACUGGAACUGACACACGGUCCCGACGCCUACGGGAGGCAGCAGUGGGGAAUAUUGCACAAUGGGCGCAAGCCUGAUGCAGCCAGGCCGCGUGUGUGAAGAAGGCCUUCGGGUUGUAAAGCACUUUCAGCGGGGAGGCGUUACCCGCAGAAGAAGCACCGGCUAACUCCGUGCCAGCAGCCGCGGUAAUUC